AAUAAAAUAAAGCCUCACUCGAUUAAUUUCGGGUGGGGCUUU
rnacentral:sRNA from 1 species